rnacentral:rRNA from 1 species
AGUGAACGCUGGCGGUAGGCCUAACACAUGCAAGUCGAACGGCAGCACAGUAAGAGCUUGCUCUUACGGGUGGCGAGUGGCGGACGGGUGAGGAAUACAUCGGAAUCUACUUUUUCGUGGGGGAUAACGUAGGGAAACUUACGCUAAUACCGCAUACGACCUACGGGUGAAAGCAGGGGAUCUUCGGACCUUGCGCGAUUGAAUGAGCCGAUGUCGGAUUAGCUAGUUGGCGGGGUGAAGGCCCACCAAGGCGACGAUCCGUAGCUGGUCUGAGAGGAUGAUCAGCCACACUGGAACUGAGACACGGUGCCGACUCCUACGGGAGGCAGCAGUGGGGAAUAUUGGACAAUGGGCGCAAGCCUGAUCCAGCCAUACCGCAUGGGUGAAGAAGGCCUUCGGGUUGUAAAGCCCUUUUGUUGGGAAAGAAAAGCAGCAGGUUAAUACCCCGCUGUUCUGACGGUACCCAAAGAAUAAGCACCGGCUAACUUCGUG